GUGAGGUAACGGCUCACCAGUGGCGACGACGGAUAGGGGGCCUGAGAGGGUGACCCCCACAGCUGGAACUGAGACACGGUCCAUACUCCUACGGGAGGCAGCAGUAAGGAAUAUUGCACAAUGGGCGCAAGCCUGAUGCAGCAACGCCGCGUGAGGGAUGAAGGGUUUCGGCUCGUAAACCUCUUUUCUGUGUGAAGAGCAACGACGGUAGCACAGGAAUAAGUCUCGGCUAACUACGUGCCAGGAGCCGCGGUAAAACGUAGGAGGCGAGCGUUAUCCGGAAUUACUGGGCGUAAAGCGCACGUAGGCGGCGCUGCAAGUGGUGCGUGAAAGCUCCCGGCUCAACUGGGAGAGGCCGUACCAAACUGCGGUGCUAGAGACAGAUAGAGGUCGACAGAACUCCGGGUGGAGUGGUGAAAUGCGUAGAGAUCCGGAGGAAUACCAGAGGCGACGGCGGUCGGCUGGGUCUGGUCUGACGCUGAGGUGCGAAAGUGUGGGGAGCGAACGGGAUUAGAAACCCCGGUAGUCCACACCGUAAACGAUGCAUACUAGUGUGCUAGGCGCCUACGGGCGCUGAGUGACGAAGACAACGCGUAAAGUAACAACGCCUGGGGAGUACGAUCGCAAGGCUACUACUCAAAGGCAGUGACGGGGGCCCGCACAAGCAGCGGAGCGUGUGGUUGAAAUCGAGGCUACGUGAAGAACCGUACAUGGGCUAGACAUGGUAAUAGUAGCCCGGGUGGAAACACCGGGGGACCUUCGGGAGCUAUCACAGGGACUGCAUGGAGGUCGUCAGCUCGGGCCCUGAGAGGUUCGGUUAAGUCCGAAAACGAGCGCAACACCCUGGCGUCAGUCACAAGUGAUCUAACGCGACUGCCCGGGGAAACUGGGAGGAAGCUGGGGAUGACGUCAAGUCAGCAUGGCCAGGAUGUCCAGGGCGACACACACGCUACAA
rnacentral:rRNA from 1 species